GCCUCCGUGGCCCAAUCGACUAGCGCGUUCGGCUGGUAACUGAAAGGUUGGUGGUUCGAACCCACCCGGAGGCG